rnacentral:rRNA from 1 species
GAGUUUGAUCAUGGCUCAGGAUGAACGCUAGCGGCAGGCUUAACACAUGCAAGUCGAGGGGUAGUAUAGCAAUAUAUGAGACCGGCGCACGGGUGCGUAACGCGUAUGCAAUCUACCUUUUACAGGGGAAUAGCCCAGAGAAAUUUGGAUUAAUGCCCCAUGGUAUAAUUGAUUGGCAUCAAUUAAUUAUUAAAGUUCCAACGGUAAAAGAUGAGCAUGCGUCCCAUUAGCUAGUUGGUAUGGUAACGGCAUACCAAGGCGAUGAUGGGUAGGGGUCCUGAGAGGGAGAUCCCCCACACUGGUACUGAGACACGGACCAGACUCCUACGGGAGGCAGCAGUGAGGAAUAUUGGACAAUGGGCGCAAGCCUGAUCCAGCCAUGCCGCGUGCAGGAAGAAGCAUCUAUGGUGUGUAAACUGCUUUUAUACAGGAAGAAACACUCCCUCGUGAGGGAGCUUGAUGGUACU